GAUGAACGCUGGCGGCGUGCCUAAUACAUGCAAGUCGAGCGAACGGACGAGAAGCUUGCUUCUCUGAUGUUAGCGGCGGACGGGUGAGUAACACGUGGAUAACCUACCUAUAAGACUGGGAUAACUUCGGGAAACCGGAGCUAAUACCGGAUAAUAUUUUGAACCGCAUGGUUCAAAAGUGAAAGACGGUCUUGCUGUCACUUAUAGAUGGAUCCGCGCUGCAUUAGCUAGUUGGUAAGGUAACGGCUUACCAAGGCAACGAUGCAUAGCCGACCUGAGAGGGUGAUCGGCCACACUGGAACUGAGACACGGUCCAGACUCCUACGGGAGGCAGCAGUAGGGAAUCUUCCGCGAUGGGCGAAAGCCUGACGGAGCAACGCCGCGUGAGUGAUGAAGGUCUUCGGAUCGUAAAACUCUGUUAUUAGGGAAGAACAUAUGUGUAAGUAACUGUGCACAUCUUGACGGUACCUAAUCAGAAAGCCACGGCUAACUACGU
rnacentral:rRNA from 1 species